AGGGAUUGCCUUAGUAACGGCGAGUGAAGCGGCAAUAGCUCAAAUUUGAAAGCUGGCGUCUUCGACGUCCGCGUUGUAAUUUGUAGAGGAUGCUUCGGCGAAGACUCCUGCCUAAGUCCCCUGGAACGGGGCGUCAUAGAGGGUGAGAAUCCCGUAUGUGGCGGGCAGUCUAAGCCAUGUGAAGCUCCUUCGACGAGUCGAGUUGUUUGGGAAUGCAGCUCUAAAUGGGAGGUAAAUUUCUUCUAAAGCUAAAUAUUGGCCAGAGACCGAUAGCGCACAAGUAGAGUGAUCGAAAGAUGAAAAGCACUUUGGAAAGAGAGUUAAAAAGUACGUGAAAUUGUUGAAAGGGAAGCGCUUGCAACCAGACUCGCUCGUAGUUGCUCAGCCGGCCUCUUGGCCGGUGUACUCUUCUACGAUCGGGCCAGCAUCAGUUCGGGCGGCAGGAUAAAGGUGUCGGGAAUGUAGCACCCUUCGGGGUGUGUUAUAGCCCGGCGCGGAAUGCUGCCAGCCUGGACUGAGGAUCUCGCUUCGGCAAGGAUGCUGGCGUAAUGGUUGUAAGCGGCCCGUCUUGAAACACGGACCAAGGAGUCUAACAUCUAUGCGAGUGUUUGGGUGUCAAACCCAUGCGCGUAAUGAAAGUGAACGGAGGUGGGAACCCCUCACGGGGUGCACCAUCGACCGAUCCUGAUGUCUUCGGAUGGAUUUGAGUAAGAGCAUAGCUGUUGGGACCCGAAAGAUGGUGAACUAUGCCUGAAUAGGGUGAAGCCAGAGGAAACUCUG
rnacentral:rRNA from 1 species